rnacentral:misc_RNA from 1 species
AAGAAUUAUACUAUUAUUAUUAUUAUAAUAAUAUAUCUUAUUUGUCACUGCAUCUUUUUCAUUGGUUCAAAUUGAAGUCGUAACCGUGAAGAAAAUAACUUAGUAUCUGAUUUGAAAAUGAUGUCCUUGUUUAGCCACAUUUACACUUAUGCUUUUGUCAAUCUUUAAAACAGGAAGUAUUACUAUAAUUCAAUAAAUCAACGCAUCUUCUGUAUUAUAAAUGGACUUUCUGUUCUAAAUUUUUAUAACAUUUUGUACGAAAAUAUUGCCAAGAUUUUGUUGCCAACUUGCCAUGGAAAAACUUUUAUAAUAAGCUAUAAUGGGGAUAGUUUAUUUCCUUCAAUUACUAUGCAUGUAUAACUUUUUUUUAGGUAUAUCCUUUCUGAACUGAUCAAAAUUGAACGCAUUUCACCAUUCAAUACAACCUUUUUAAUCAGAUAAUUAGUAGAGAGAAAGGGACGGUUACAAUUCCUUUCUCAUAAUUA